GUCCGGAUGUGGGAAGUCAAGGCGGCCCGACGCGCAACUUAGUGAAAAAGGCACAGCGAGAGGGGCUUGAGAAGGAUUAUCCAGCAGACCUGGGGUUACUACUCCAUUGUCUUUCACCUCCUCCUGAUAUUUAAAAACAACAACAACAACAACUGAGAAGAGGAGUCUUUUGAAGGAACAAAGUGUUCACUUUCUCUCUUCAUCUCCUCCAUUGAAGGAAAGAGAAGGAGGUCCAAGAGAAUCGUUCAUAGACUUGGGAGUGGCGAAGGAAAGGCAGACUGACUCUUUAUUCCCUGGUUGAAUAUCUGCUUAUAUAGCAGAGCUGAUGAACUACCUCUGAGCUGUCAGUGGACCACACACUACUUCGGGACUUCAUGUAAACUCACCUUCAAAGUAUUGCCACAUGUUGCCAAGGACAACUGGUUGAGCCAUUGCCGCAUUUGGCGAGCCAUGCGGUCUAAAACUUGACAACAGCAGCCCAUGGGAGUAUGUGUUUCUAAAUUGCACAAGGACUCUGUCAGCUCACCAGAGAACAAGCAGGAGAGGGGCAGAGAGAGAGAGAGAGAGAG